rnacentral:lncRNA from 1 species
AGACCAGGUGGAGGAAAUUGAAUCAUGGAUGUGGUUUCUCCCAUGCUGGUCUCGUGAUAAUGAGUGAAUUAUCAUGAGAUCUGAUGGUUUUAUAAGGGGCUCUUCUCCCUUCGUUCAACACUUCUCCUUCCUGCCGCCUUGUGAAGAAGACGCCUUGCUUCCCCUUGGCCUUACACCAUGAUUGUAAGUUCCCUGAGGCCUCCCCAGUCAUGCUGAACUUUAACAAGACCUUUCAAAAAAAUUUAUCUGAGCUACCUCCUCUCUCUGAAUGGCUUUUUCCCACUUGAGCCUAGCAAUCUUUCCUUAAGUAAAAAAAGAAAGCUGAGAUAUUCAAAAGAGUCCCCAAAGUUAGUGUCUCACCCAGCCUGUUGUUUGUUAGCCAGUUUCCUUCUGGAGGAGGAAGUUAGUUUAAACAUGGCCUACUUUCCUCCCUUCUCCCUUUCAUUGCAGUCCAUAGUUAUUAAAUUAAAUGUGAACUCAGCUGUUUUACUGAAGUGCUUUUGUGGUGUUUAUGAAUAGAAGGGAUUAGCAUUUAUUGGUAAAUCGUUAUGCCCCAAGAACUGUGUUAGGUAGUCCUCAAGCUUUAACGUGCACAGAAUCAUGGAGAGAUCUGGUAACGUGCAAGCUGUGGCUCAGCUGGCUGGGGUGCAACCUGGGUGUCGUUGUUUUGCGGGAGGAUGGGCUCACAGGGCCUGCCCAGGGUCACUGGUCUCAGUCAGCCUCCACUCACAGGUAAGAACUCUGAGACUGGUGAGGGAAAUCACUUUGGCAUAGCUUCACAGCCAGUCGGUAUUUACACCCAGGGCUUCAGGCCACGCGCAAAGCAGCAGCAGGCGUGCCCCGGAUUAAUUAUCAUCUCCUCCUGCCACAACAGCCGUUUAUUUAGAUUUUUUUGUUUAGGACACUGCUGUGGGUUGAACUGUGUCUCCCUAAAAGGUAGGUUGAUGUCUUAACCCCUGGUACUUGUGAACAUGACCUUAUUUGGAAAUAGGGUCUUUUCAGAUAUAAUCGAGUGAAGAUGAGGCCAUACUUGAGUAGGGGGGCCCUUAAUCCAACAUGACAGGUAUCCUGUAAGAAGAGAAAAGGAGACAUGGACACACAUACAGAGGAGAAUGCCGCAUAGCAGAGAUGGGAGCGGUGUGGCUCCAAGUCAUGUCAAGCAUUGCCAGCCACUACCAGAGGCCAGAACGGCCAAGAAGGCGCCUCCCCUGGAACCUGCAGAGAGACCGUGACCCUCUCGGCACCUUGAUUGAGGAUUUCUAGCCUCCAUAACUGCGAGAUAAUACAUCUCUGUUGUUUUAAGCUUCCAAGUUUGACGUGAUUUGUGAUAGCAGCCCUAGGAAAUGGAUAAAAAUACUGAGUAUACUGCCUUGGUUUUCCGUGUUGCUGACUGUGUCUGUCUGCCCUCUAGACUGUCAUCAGGCAAACUCAGUGACUGCUAAAAGCGCAUCUGACCCACACAAGCCCUCAGCCCACCUUGCUGUUUACUUGGCUUUCAGCAGUAGGAGAAAAAAUGAUGUUUAUAUUAUAAAAGUAAAUCAGCUGUAUUGUACUUUACAGCAGAGAAACCCUUUGUUACUCAUAUUUUCAAAUACUUUUUAAGAGAUGUUUAAAGCAUGGAAAGUAUUUUUAGCAUUUAAAGUAUUUGCAUUUUUAAUAAAAAAAUUUCUCCACAGAAAAAUUGUUGUAUAUGUGUGAUUAAUUAAUUGCCUGAUAUUUGCUUGGGAGCUAUACUGCCAAGCAAACGUUUAUCAUCUUCUGAAAAAUCUCGUGACAUUUAAAAAAGAAAAACCUCUUGGGGUUGCCUUCUAUUUG